AGUGAACGUUGACGCCUGAAAUGUUCGCUGAACCGAGGCGCACUUGAACGCAGCCCUCUCGUGGUUCCAAGUGUAAAGCACAUGCCGCUUUCACGGUGAGCGAGCACGCGCAUAGGCGGAGUCUGGCGUGCGCGCGUGCACAUUGUCAGGCUGCUGUGUCCACAGGAGGACCAGGAGGAGGAGGAGGAUGAAGAUGACGACUGCAGCGGACAUGGCGGGCCUGCUCCUCUUCAUCUUCAUCACGAUUAUGGCGUUCCCGCUGUCCUUCACGAUGACUUCGUCCCAUCCUGAGUACCACCAUCAAAGUCCAACCCAGGAUUUAGUCCCACCCAGGCCUGAGCUGGGUCUGGUCCAGUUUGGCCGCAGGAGCCCAGCACAGACCCAGCAGACAGCUCUGAACAAGAAGGACGCCUGGCAGAGUCCAGACGGGAACCAGACACGUUCCUCGGACUCUCAGAGUCUCCGUGGGCCCCCCGGGGAAUCCUCCAUGGAGGCUUCUGGCUUCUUUGGAUCGGACGCAGACGAACGAGACGGAGGCGAGGAAGGCGGAGCGGCCCGAGACAGAAGAGACGGACGGGACGAGUGGAUGGACCCCCAUCGUGUCUUCAAGAGGACAAGAGCUACUCUGGACCUGGAUGCUAUGAUUGGCUACAGUCCUCCGUCCCCCCCGCUCCCUGCUGGGUCUCGGCAGCAGCGUGAGGAGCUUUGGGAGGCGGAUGCUCACUCCAGCGGUUUCGGGGCCCUCCGUUCCUCCACGACGUCACCCCCCCCUGAGUCUGACACUGGCACAGACUUUGGACUGCUGGGGGUUAAAGGCGAGGACGAAAGACGUGUCAAUGUCACCGUGGACCCCCCCGACAAAGACGAAGAUGGCGGGAAGCAGACCAGGAGAACGCCCAUCCAUGUUUCCCCCAAUGGACGCUUAGCUGAGACCACCUGGGACAGGCUGGCCACGCCCCCUCAGCAGGCGCAGGUGGCGUGUGUGGACUGGACACAGCCUGACGGACAUGGCUACGUCAUCCUCAACAUGACACACAACCUCAACUGUGAGGAGUUCCGUGUGGAUGGCGGCGUGCUCCUGCUGAAGACGAUGCAGCGUCUGUUUCCCCGAAGGAUGAAGAGUCCAGAGGGAUCAUGGCGACUUUACCUGAGCAAGCCCACACAUCAACAGCGUCAGAUACUCAUGCAUGUGGCAUCUGAGCACGAGGUGAUCUCCACCAAGGAACUCCUGAGCAUGCUGACAGAAAUGAGGAUAAGUUUGAAUAAGGUGGGCGUGCAGAGCUACGGCGCUCCCAGCACGUGUCCGCCUCGGCCCACUCAGACGCGCAGCGACUACAGCAAACUCUUUGUGGUUCUGGUUAUCAUCGGGUCAGUCUGCAUGAUCAUCAUCGCGUCGGGCUUCUUCUACAUCUGCUGGCAGAGACGCCUGCCCGCCGCCAAGAGCACGUUCCGCGCCGAGGAGCUUCACUUUGUGGAGAACGGUUGCCACGACAACCCCACCCUGGACGUGGCGGGCGACAGCCGGGCCGAGACUCAGGAAAAGAAGCCCAGCGCCAACGGACUGGCGGGCGGAGCCGAGGGAGGCGGUGACGAGAGCAGUGGCUGGCAGGUGUUUGUCAAUCAAGCGGCGACUGAGGAAGAGGAGGAGGAAGAGCAGGACACACACCUCUGAUGACAUCAUCACGAGGACUGAGCCAUGCUAGCUGCUAGCUUGUGAUCAGCGUUCAUCACUUUGACAUUUGGUGGAAAUGAAGCACUUUAACUUUUGAAUUAUGCUUCAGCGUCACCGCCGGCUGGCUCCUCCCCCUCCAGACCCUCCGAAGGAGCCUUGGAAAAAUUCAAACUUCAUGUCAAUGACGUUUCCUAUCAAAACAAAAGUAACUGUCUCUAGUGUAUUGGUAGGGAAUUGCAAGUCACAAGCUCUGCCCCCACUGAAGAGCUAGAACAGAAUUAAGACGCGGUAGGAGGGACUGGUUUGGUGACAACGCUGAAGCGUAGUUCCAGCUUUACACUAAUUGUACUUCUACUUUGACAGCAGAAGAAAACUUUGCAGCUGUUAGGUUAGCUUACAGCCUUACGUGUGUCAGCAGUGUGCUAAACUAACUGGCAGUCAUUGAACAUGAGAAAGAAAAGAUGUUAUUUAGUCGACUUUUGUUGAACAACUGAGAUACAGCAUACAGGAUGGCCAGUGGGCUACACUGUGAUCGUGUACCAACGUCCAUGUAUUGUUUGUUUCUUUCGAAAUGUGUCUUGUGUCUACUUAAGAGUUGAGGUUAAAAGGGAUUGAGUGCCUGUAAAAGUGGUCGAGGCUGAAACGUGCAUGACAACAAAGCUUGAUGUACAGAGACUUCUCGCUCUUAUAAUAAUAAUAAUACUGGAUGGUAAAUGAAUACUGUCCUAUAGGCCUGUUCAUCAUAAAGGUCAUUGUUGUCAAUGCUCUGCACACAUGCACACCGCAUUAAGGAGCAUGUUGCUGCUACAAAAACCUCUGAAAAACGUGAAUAAAUCUGAACAUUAAAUUGUUUGCGUUUGCUUGUUCUGUUAAUGCAGACCACCCAAGUCCCUUGUAUGCAAUGGCUCGCUUGUUCAUUCGCAGUCAUUAAAGCACAUCAACGGGCAACUCCGCCAGCUGCCAGCCGUCGGGGGUCCUUCCUACUCGUUAGCCUCUUGCUAGCUAGCCAACACGUACGCAGUCGCUCGGUGGAGCAGAACAUGACGUUUGUGGCUG